rnacentral:misc_RNA from 1 species
GGUGGCUGCCAUCUUGCGU